UGCGUAGGCGGAUUUUUAAGUCAGUGGUGAAAGCCCGGAGCUCAACUCCGGAACUGCUAUUGAUACUAUUAAUCUUGAAUACAGUUGAGGUGGGCGGAAUGUGUAGUGUAGCGGUGAAAUGCUUAGAUAUUACACAGAACACCGAUUGCGAAGGCAGCUCGCUAAACUGUUAUUGACGCUGAGGCACGAAAGCGUGGGGAGCGAACAGGAUUAGAUACCCUGGUAGUCC
rnacentral:rRNA from 1 species